GACGAAUUGGAACAGUUUGUUGCAUCACCCAAGGUGAAUGUGUACCAGUAUGGUCCUGGCUCCUCAUGUCAUACGAAGGCUUAUUCUCAGAAGCUUGAAGAGAUAAAGCACCAGUGUGUAAAGGAGCUUCACAAGAAGGCAGUUGACAGCACUCUCAGGAACACAAAAAAGAUGCUCAAGAGACUGCAUGGACAUCUAAUUUUUUCUCUGGAAAACCUAGGUGUUUUGGGGGCGUUACAGGCUAGUUGCAUUCUCUUAAAGGGGGAUCACCAUGAGCGCCAUCAAAUGGUGGAAGCUGAAGUUAAUGCUAGCGAUGACUCUUUGUGUGACAGAUAUCUGAGUCAGGUUGACACAGUCUU
rnacentral:misc_RNA from 1 species